rnacentral:rRNA from 1 species
UACGUAGGGUCCGAGCGUUGUCCGGAAUUACUGGGCGUAAAGAGCUCGUAGGUGGUUUGUCGCGUUGUUCGUGAAAACUCACAGCUUAACUGUGGGCGUGCGGGCGAUACGGGCAGACUUGAGUACUGCAGGGGGAGACUGGAAUUCCUGGUGUAGCGGUGGAAUGCGCAGAUAUCAGGAGGAACACCGGUGGCGAAGGCAGGUCUCUGGGCCGAUACUGACGCUGAGGAGCGAAAGCGUGGGGAGCGAACAGG